GCGGUGAAGUCAGACCGGAAGGACUGGUGGAGCGCUUAGAAGUGAGAAUGCCGGUAUGAGUAGCGAAAGAAGGGUGAGAAUCCCUUCCACCGAAUAUCUAAGGUUUCCUGAGGAAGGCUCGUCCGCUCAGGGUUAGUCGGGACCUAAGCCGAGGCCGAUAGGCGUAGGCGAUGGACAACAGGUAGAGAUUCCUGUACCAGUGCUAAUUGUUUAACCGAUGGGGUGACACAGAAGGAUAGGGAAUCGCACGAAUGGAAAUGUGCGUCCAAGCAGUGAGUGUGAGAAGUAGGCAAAUCCGCUUCUCGCGAAGCAUGAGCUGUGAUGGGGAAGGAAAUUAAGUACGGAAGUUCCUGAUUUCACGCUGUCAAGAAAAGCCUCUAGGAAGAGUAGUACUGCCCGUACCGCAAACCGACACAGGUAGAUGAGGAGAGAAUCCUAAGGUGAGCGAGAGAACUCUCGUUAAGGAACUCGGCAAAAUGACCCCGUAACUUCGGGA
rnacentral:rRNA from 1 species